rnacentral:tRNA from 1 species
CAGAGAAUAGUUUUAUAAAAAUAUUAAUUUUGGAGAUUAAUGAUGGGAGAUUUUCUCUUCUCUGA